rnacentral:rRNA from 1 species
UACGAGGGGGGCAAGCGUUGUUCGGAAUUAUUGGGCGUAAAGGGCGCGUAGGCGGUGCGGUAAGUCACCUGUGAAAACUCUGGGCUCAACUCAGAGCCUGCAGGCGAAACUGCCGUGCUGGAGUGUGGGAGAGGUGCGUGGAAUUCCCGGUGUAGCGGUGAAAUGCGUAGAGAUGUGGAGGAACACCGAUGGCGAAGGCAGCCUUCUGGGCCAAUACUGACGCUCAUGCACGAAAGCGUGGGGAGCAAACAGG